GAGCUAGCUAAGCCUCGAACUCGUGGGUGUAUCUCGUGUGAACGCCAUUUUAACCGGACGCUAGCACCAACUUAAGUACGGGUACCAGCUAAGCCGGUAUACUGUGAACGCAAGAGCUAUAUAUAACAUGAAUUGAC